AAAUAUAGGGCUUUUGUAAAUUAUGCAUUUACUGUAAUUAUUCCUGUUUAAUUUUUUAAUGAUGAACCCGACAGAGGAAAGGAUUUUGCUACGUUUAUAAAGUCAUCAUGAUACAAGCCAUGUGCAUUCUCCUCUACCCAGCUCUGUAACAAUCAUUCUGAAAGAAGCAGACUUUAUUUCCAGAUGUUUUCUGUCAUAUUUUAAUGACUGACCUUAACCAUACUUUUUCUAGACAAAAUCUCAGCUUCCAUUAGACUUGAGACUGAUGGUCAGGACUCUGUGAACAGCCCUUACCCCAACCACAUCCCUAGCCCUGCUCUGGACAUGGGUGGAUUGUCUCCAGAGGCUGAGCAGGGCCCUGAGCUGGUAACAGCACUCUACAGGGGCAGGGUGGCCUCACCUGCAGACUGAGCAGCUGAUGGAGCCUCGAAGCCAUCUCCCUCCCUCCACACUCAUCAAGGACCAAUCAUGGGGCAGGUGCUCAUUUCCUGGCUGGGGCAGAGCAGGUGAAAGCAAGAGACUUCAGCGGAGCAGGCAGCCUGCAACUCCAAUAAAGGCCUUAUUUUUCUUGUAUAAACUGUCUUACAUUUAUUUGUAACUGUUGUAAGAGUGGACCUAGUUCUCCACUCAGCUGUCUUGCUAGCCUCCUGACUGACUUCAGUGAACUAAGAAGCCACAGGGCUCAGGCACACAUGUGCGUAUUUAUUGUGUAGCUGAUGUGGGAGAGGCUUUUAUAUUUGCUUUCUGCUUUUAAUUCAUCUGGACAGUUGGUUGUUCUGUUUUUCUGUUAAUCGUUUGUGACCCUCCCGAUUAUAUAACAGUCUGUGCAGUCAACUUCUGAACUGUUUUUAUCACAGUGUUAUUUAUUGCUGUUUUUCAAUAAAGUCCCCAGCAUUUUC
rnacentral:lncRNA from 1 species